rnacentral:tRNA from 1 species
AGAGUUUUUAGGGGUUACUUCUAAUAAUCUGAAGAGAAAAAUUUUUCUCAACUCUU